rnacentral:lncRNA from 1 species
CUUCAGACCUGCAAAAGUUGUCUUCAAGAACAGAGAUAGUAAAAUUAUUAACUAACUCUCAGGUUCACUUGAUCGAAGAAAUUGAUACACAUAUAUAUAUAUACAAGAUUGUCGAACUCACAAAAUCAAAACAACCCAAUAAGUCUAGGAGACCAGCAGAUAUGAAGAGAGAGGUGACGAGAAAGAAAGUAGCUUUUGCGAUGCUUUUUGCUGGAUGCGAUUCCGGUUUAAGACAGACAUAACUAUGCUUGUUCGUUUGAGGAUUGUUGUUGUUGCUGUUCCUCUUCAUGCUUUCCCUCCUGGUUGAAUCAUGAAUCUCUAUAUCUAUCUACGUCUCCUUCUUAUGCAUAUAUAUAUUUGCUCACAAUUAAACAUUCAACAGGAAGCUAGAGUUGAAGAAAAACGAGAAUCAGGGGAGAUGAAACGUUUUACCCAAGGCGAUGAGAAAGAAAGCUCAAAGGUUUUUUUGGAUUGGUGCUU